rnacentral:rRNA from 1 species
CAAUAGCGUAUAUUAUAGUUGUUGCAGUUAAAAAGCUCGUAGUUGGAUUUGUGGCGUACGGUGGGUUCCGGGCACUUGUUGUCUGAGUAACUUGCUGUUGCCAUCCUUGGGUGGAACCUGUGUGGCAUUAGGUUGUCGUGCAGGGGAUGCCCAUCAUUUACUGUGAAAAAAUUAGAGUGUUCAAAGCAGGCUUAUGCCGUUGAAUAUAUUAGCAUGGAAUAAUGAGAUAGGACUUUUUUGCUAUUUUGUUGGUUUGCGCAAAGAGGUAAUGAUUAAUAGGGACAGUUGGGGGUAUUCGUAUUCCAUUGUCAGAGGUGAAAUUCUUGGAUUUUUGGAAGACGAACUACUGCGAAAGCAUUUACCAAGGAUGUUUUCAUUAA